rnacentral:rRNA from 1 species
GACGAACGCUGGCGGCGUGCCUAAUACAUGCAAGUUGAGCGCUGAAGGUUGGUACUUGUACCAACUGGAUGAGCAGCGAACGGGUGAGUAACGCGUGGGGAAUCUGCCUUUGAGCGGGGGACAACAUUUGGAAACGAAUGCUAAUACCGCAUAAAAACUUUAAACACAAGUUUUAAGUUUGAAAGAUGCAAUUGCAUCACUCAAAGAUGAUCCCGCGUUGUAUUAGCUAGUUGGUGAGGUAAAGGCUCACCAAGGCGAUGAUACAUAGCCGACCUGAGAGGGGGAUCGGCCACAUUGGGACGGGGACACGGCCCAAACGACUACGGGAGGCAGCAGUAGGGAAUCUUCGGCAAUGGACGAAAGUCUGACCGAGCAACGCCGCGUGAGUGAAGAAGGUUCUCGGAUCGUAAAAAUCGGUUGGUAGAGAAGAACGUUGGUGAGAGUGGAAAGCGCAUCAAGUGACGGUAACUACACAGAAAGGGACGGCUAACUACGUG